rnacentral:rRNA from 1 species
AUUGAACGCUGGCGGCAGGCCUAACACAUGCAAGUCGAGCGGGGUUUUCGGACCUAGCGGCGGACGGGUGAGUAAUGCGUAGGAAGCUACCCGAUAGAGGGGGAUACCAGUUGGAAACGACUGUUAAUACCGCAUAAUGUCUACGGACCAAAGUGUGGGACCUUCGGGCCACAUGCUAUCGGAUGCGCCUACGUGGGAUUAGCUAGUUGGUGAGGUAAUGGCUCACCAAGGCGACGAUCCCUAGCUGGUUAGAGAGGAUGAUCAGCCACACUGGAACUGAGACACGGGACAGACGCGUACGUGAGGCAGCAGUGGGGAAUAUUGGAUAAGGGGCGCAAGCCUGAUACAGCCAUGCCGCGUGUGUGAAGAAGGCCUUCGGGUUGUAAAGCACUUUCAGUAGGGAGGAAGCGUUGUGUGUUAAUAGUACACAGCGUUGACGUUACCUACAGAAGAAGCACCGGCUAACUCUGUGCCAGCAGCCGCGGUAACAC